CAGUCGCCACGGUAAUACGUAGGUGGCAAGCGUUGUCCGGAAUUAUUGGGCGUAAAGGGCUCGCAGGCGGUUUCUUAAGUCUGAUGUGAAAGCCCCCGGCUCAACCGGGGGGGGUCAUUGGAAACUGGGAAACUUGAGUGCAGAAGAGGAGAGUGGAAUUCCACGUGUAGUGGUGAAAUGCGUAGAGAUGUGGAGGAACACCAGUGGCGAAGGCGACUCUCUGGUCUGUAACUGACGCUGAGGAGCGAAAGCGUGGGGAGCGAACAGAAUUAGAUACCCCAGUAGUCCCUGUCUCUUAUAC
rnacentral:rRNA from 1 species